rnacentral:lncRNA from 1 species
AUGCCCAAAAAAAUGCUGUAUAAAUUACUUAAUGACUCUGGUCCCUGAAUGUGAAAAAGCUAAUUGUUGCCUUAAUUGUUACUCAAUCAAUUGUCUCCAUCGGUGUCCUCUUUUUUUCUAUUAAAAAAACAAUGAAGUUUUAUUCAUAAUAAUGCAUGAAUUUUUAUUGUGCUUUGAUGACCCUUAGGAUGUGUUUGGUUGUGAGAAGAAAAAGUGAGAGAGAGAAUAUGAGAAGAGAUAAAGAUGUGAGAAAUAGAGUAUAUUUGAUAGAUUGUUUGGUAUAAGAGAAUGAGAAGAGAAAUAGAGAAGAGAGAAAUGUUGAUUAUAAUUAAAAAGACGAAAAUACCCUUGAAAUAAAAAUUCUCACUUAAA